rnacentral:rRNA from 1 species
CGGACGGGUGAGUAACGCGUGGGCAACCUGCCUUGCACUGGGGGAUAACAGCCAGAAAUGGCUGCUAAUACCGCAUAAGACCGAAGCGCCGCAUGGCGCGGCGGCCAAAGCCCCGGCGGUGCAAGAUGGGCCCGCGUCUGAUUAGGUAGUUGGCGGGGUAACGGCCCACCAAGCCGACGAUCAGUAGCCGACCUGAGAGGGUGACCGGCCACAUUGGGACUGAGACACGGCCCAG